CCUAAAAAGAGCGUAAAACGCCUCACAGAGAGAGAGGAGAGAGAGUGAGCGAGCAAACAGCUGUUCCGGGAGCUCCACCAAAUGCCAUCCAACCCCAACCCACCGCUUCGCCGCCCCGCCGACGGAGCCGAUCAGAACCACCAGAUGGACAACGAAGGCGACGACGACGAGAUGGAGUACGAGGAGGUCGAGGAGGAACUGGAAGUAGAGGAGGAGGUCGAGGAGGAGGAGGAGGAGGAGGUCGAGGAGGAGGAGGAGGAAGAAGAAGGACCAGAAGAAGGAGAACCGGAGGAGGCAGAAGAGCAGGAGGAGGAAAUCGGCGACAGAGAAGGGAAACAAGGAGCCGGCGAAGAGAAAUCGCCCGGUUCACCCGUCGGCGAAGAUCGGAGCGUUGUUAGAGAAGGAAUGGAAUCCAAGGUGCAUGAAGAGCACUUGAGAUCAUGUUCUUCUGAUCUGGGAAAAACUUUUGCAAAUCAGCUAUCAGACACCGCAGCAGUAGAAGGUGGCCUUGCCAGUUCCAAUAUUUUUACUGCAAGUGAGGGAAGACAAAAAGGAGAAUCAGAGACUGCCAAAUCCUCCAGUUUUGUGCAUAAAGAUGUCGUGGCUGCUGCUAAAGAGGUAGCUGAUACAAUCUCAACCAGAGAGGGUUUUACUGAGGAGGUAGAAAUUAAGAAAAUGGAGAUGGAAUCUAGUGAAGGCUUAAAUCAAGGGCCGGCAAGUAGUGUUUCCAGAUCAGCUGUUCCCCAGAUAAGGCUUAGAAGUUUAUCUCCCUUGGGCGAGCCUGAUGCAAAUAAACGAUCUGCGGUUAUCUGUGAUUUUUUUGCUAAAGGUUGGUGUAUCAAAGGGAAUGCAUGUAAGUUCCUUCACAUAAAGGAAGAUGUAAGUAUCACGAGCCAAAAGUGUGAGGAAGGUGUACCCACUUCGAGCAUGAAAAGUGGGUUGCAGGAUGACAGAGAAAGGGCCCAAUCACAGGAGCAUGCAGAAAGCUCAAGGUGGCAUCACUCUUUUCAAAAGGAGGACUUAUCUCAUGGAUUUACCACUAAUUUUCUGCAGUCACCUAUAGUCAAAGAUAAUUCUAGGUCUAUGUCCUUUUUUAGGGAUAUUGGAAGAGAUAACCUGAAGAAGAAUUGGUCCUCAGCUGAUUAUCCCUUGGAUAGGAAUAGCAGUCUGCCUGAUUAUAGAUCUUUUUCUGGCAAUUCAAUCAUGCCUUCAGGUACUUUUCAAAGUGCCGGGUUUCAUUCUCAUGCAAGCAUGGAAGAAGACAGGGUUACGAAGAGAUGCCAGUUCAUUCUCAAUGACCAUGGUUCACCUUCUUUAAGUGGUUUACAAAAUUCAAGCUUUAGCCCUUCUCUUCCAACAACUGGUAUAUUGCCAUCUCAGAACGUUUCAACAUGGACAAUGUCAUAUUCUUCUUUCAGUUCUUUGAACAAAGAUCCUCUUGGUAGCCAAAAGCUUUUGGACAAUGUUGGAGAAUAUCGUGCCUCUAGUUCUGCUUCUUCGUUGCACUAUCCUUCACCGUUCUUUGGGUCUGAACCAGAAUAUCCAUCUCGGACCAACAUUUCUGGUGAUCCUUUUUGUAUUGCUGGACAGAGAUCAAGGGUUUCUUAUAAUGCUUGGGAGCUAUCUGAACCUUUUCAACCUUCUUAUUUUAUCACUCAAAGUAUUUCAUCCCCAGGUAGUCUGUAUGAUCCCAUUCGUGAUAGCAUUGAGCAGCCUAACUUCGGGGGUGGUUCCUUAAAAGUUUCUUCAAUACCAGAGACAUCUAUCACAAAUGCACAUCCAAGUAUAGGUACUGAUCCUGUUCUAACAGGAACCCUUCACUUUGAACGGGAUCUGGAUAAACAUUCUGCUUCUGUUGAUUAUAAAUUUCUUGAGAAUGUGACCAACAAGAAUUUUCAAGGAAAUGAUUUAUUUACAACUGAAGGAGGAACUCUGAGAACUUAUGCUGAACAGCAAAAUAGAAGUACCUUCCCCAAGGAAGAGAAGCUCAUGAAUCCUUCCCAUGUUGCAUAUAUUAGCAAUGAUCUUGGACUUCAGAAGGAUGAGCUGGGGCAAAAGGAGGAACUAAAAGUGGAUAAGAGUGGACAAAACAAUGAAAUAGAUCUUGAUAUUAAGUUAGAUGCUGAGCAGAAGGAAUCAAAAGCUUUGAAACACUUCCGUGCUGUUCUUGUUGAUCAUGUGAAAGAAUUGGUGAAACCAAUUUGGCAUGAGGGUCUUCUGAGCAAGGAUGCUUACAAGGUAAUUGUUAAGAAGUCAGUUGACAAGGUUCUUAGUACAGUGCUACCUCACCAAAUACCAAGUACUUCUGAGUCAAUCAAACAGUAUCUUUCCGCAUCCGAAAGAAAACUUUCGAAGCUUGUUGAUGGAUAUGUUGUUAAAUAUGGAAAAUCUUGAGCUGCCAGGCUGCUUGGUUUUCUCUUGUACAGUCUUCUAAACAUUCUACCAACUUGAAGUUGAGACAUUUUCUUAGGCUAUCUUUGUAGUUAUCAAUACCUAGGGUGGAACUCCAUAGGAGUUUAUAAAUUUCUGGAGAAUUUUUGAUGGAUUAUGUUUGUUAUUUUCUGGAUUUAAGAGUAAUUUUAGAAAUUAUGAAUGCUUUAAAUCUUAUCUCUUGUUUGGCACUAGGACAUUCAUUUAAGUUUUCAGUUGGAUGAGCCAGAAAUAACUAGAGGGACUAUGUUUAAUUGUGGUUUCCAAAAAUCCAAAAACACCUUUCACUGGCUUUGACUUUAGUUCAUGCGUGUCUCUACAUUUCAACCUUUCUUCAUCGUAUUGUAGGUCUAGUUUGUGCAAAAGCAGAGAGAAAUAUAGAUAAUCAAGUUCCUGUUUCCUGAUACUUUCUAGCAUUCCACUCUUUCCUUCUUAUGCACCCGGUUUUCUUAUUUAGAAGAAGGCUUCCAAGUAUAGUUCUUAAGACUCUCUCAUUCUAGAAUGACCUAAGGGAGAUUCUCCUUGUCCACUGUGGAUGUAUGCAUGUCUGGAAGCCAAUGUACAGAACAUAUAGGAUUUAUGAAUCUCUGAGGUCCCCCACUCCCAGGAGUGUCUUAUCUCAAAUCUAGGGCUUAUUCAUCAUUACCUUGUGGUUCAGAUUGAACUACCUGCUUUUAGAGUUUCUAGGAAUUCUUAAGAUCAGCUGGGGCUUAGUUUUGCGGUAUGGGCUAGUCGAGUGAGUUAUUUUAGCUUGGGUAAACUGUACUUCUGCACUAGGGAAUCUUCCUUUUCUUUCUAUGACUAAUUUUUCUAAAGAAUGACGUGGUCUGUCUCAGACUGCUUUAUUGUUGUUGUGUUACUCUUCUAAUCCCUAGCUGCCUUGAAGCAGGAAAGCACAACAAUAUACAGUCAGUCAUGGAGCUAACAUGUUACACCUCCAAUUUGUCACUUCUUUUUGAUAAAAAAUAAUAUCACCUAUCUUUUACCAACUCUCACAUGGGACAUAGGCAGCCAGUAGGCCCGAUUAGCUAUUAGAAGCCAAUAUGAGCGGUAUGGUUUUCUGGACAACUUUUACUGAAAACAAGAGUAAUGUGAUUCUGAGAAGUAGUUUUCAAACUCCUUGGUUGUUUCCGGGUUGUGGUUUCUGAAUUCAAUGAAUAGUUUGGGAACAUUUAGGAUUUCAUAUAUAUUUAACUGAUGACAAUGACAAUUACUGUGUAGUUGUGGUUUUCAGAUCUCUUAUUCUUGGACGAUUUCUGCUUAAUUAUUCCUGCAUCAAUGUCACAAUUGUUUCUGUUGAGUGGAGAUGUCUGUGGCUGAGCCUUGCUGAAACCCAAUUCAUUGUCGCUUGAUCUUCUGCUGCUGGUACUUCUGCUACUUCCACUUGGAUGACUCGGUGUCCUGGGUGGCAACAGCUCCUUGGAACUGACCUGAUCGAGCCUGAGCAACUGAGAUGAACUCAAAUGGGGUGGAAUCGAUUUUGGUAAUACCUGGCCAUGGGAAAACAGCUGAUCAGCCGGGGAGAACAACUUGUCAGGACUGUCAGCGAUCAAGUUUGGCGUUGAAUGACCAAAGACAAACUCUGGUUCUCGUUUAAUCGGUUGCAAGCUGAUCUCGGGCUUCAAGGACCGGUCUUGGAUGCAUGCAAGGUCUGAGAAGGAUAGGGAGUCAGCCGAAAUGAUCUCAGUAGCAGCAUCAAAAAACAUUCUUCUUUGUUGCUUGGUGGUUGCCAUGGACAUUGUGGCAAACUAGAUGUCUGAAUCCCUGAGCUUUAUGUAAGUCAAGCUUAAGAGUGAUUUAUUUGGAGGCACUUCAUUGUACUAUUUCUCUUGUUCCUUCUUUCAUCAUUCUUGCUUUACCCUGGCCGGGUCGAUGAUUAUAAUCUUAUAAUCUUCUAUGUGUAAUACUAUAUCGACUGCAUUUUCAUACAGAAUGAUGUGACUUGUUAGUAUGCCUAAAUUAAGAAGAAAAACAUCGUUAAAAUAGUUGGUAAUGCAAGAUUAUCAUUUGCCAUGUCA